rnacentral:rRNA from 1 species
AUUGAACGCUGGCGGCAGGCCUAACACAUGCAAGUCGAGCGAGCGGCGGACGGUUGAGUAAUGUCUGGGAAACUGCCUGAUGGAGGGGGAUAACUACUGGAAACGGUAGCUAAUACCGCAUACCAUCAGAUGUGCCCAGAUGGGAUUAGCUAGUAGGUGGGGUAACGGCUCACCUAGGCGACGAUCCCUAGCUGGUCUGAGAGGAUGACCAGCCAGUCUGGGACGGAGACAGUGUCAAGACGCCUACAGGAGGCAGCAGUGGGGGAUAUUGGACGAUGGGCGAAAGCCGGAUGCAGCCAUGCGGCGGGUGUGAAGAAGGCCUUCGGUUUGUAAAACACUUACAGCGGGGAGGCGUUAACCGCCGAAGAAGCACCGGCUAACUCCGUGCCAGCAGCCGCGGUAAUAC